UACGGAGGAGGCAAGCGUUAUCCGGAAUUAUUGGGCGUAAAGCGUCUGUAGGUGGUUUAAAAAGUCUACUGUUAAAGCUUGAAGCUUAACUUCAAAAAUGCCGUAGAAACUUUUAAACUUGAGUAUGGUAGGGGUAGAGGGAAUUUCCAGUGGAGCGGUGAAAUGCGUAGAUCUUGGAAAGACCACCAAUGGCGAAGGCGCUCUACUGGGCCAUAACUGACACUAAGAGACGAAAGCUAGGGGAGCAAAUGGG
rnacentral:rRNA from 1 species